GUAGCAGCAUAAAUAAUGAAGUAGUUUGUCAUGUUGUCAUCGAGUCAAACAGAUUUUACUCUUCGGGAUUUAAAGCUGGACAAGAGAACAAGAGAAGAGUUUAGGACUGUCUUCACUCUCAUCUCAUCAGCAACGGGAGAAGAUGAUCUGCAGGAUCCUUCUGCUCAUCAGCCUGACCUCCUGUGUCUCUGGAACAUUUGUAGUGAAAGUGACACAGACCUCCUAUCAGGCAGAGGAGAACCACAACAUC